rnacentral:rRNA from 1 species
UUGAGCCUUGAUGUGUAGGAUAGGUGGGAGGCUUUGAAGUGUGGACGCCAGUCUGCAUGGAGCCAACCUUGAAAUACCACCCUUUAAUGUUUGAUGUUCUAACGUUGCCCCGUGAUCCGGGGUGCGGACAGUGUCUGGUGGGUAGUUUGACUGGGGCGGUCUCCUCCCAAAGCGUAACGGAGGAGCACGAAGGUUGGCUAAGCAUGGUCGGACAUCAUGCGGUUAGUGC